ACACGGGUAGCCCAACGGAAGGAGGCGCCUCGCUUAGAACGAGGACAGUGUGGGUCCGAAUCCCACCCCGUGUACCA
rnacentral:tRNA from 1 species